AUUGAACGCUGGCGGAAUGCAUUACACAUGCAAGUCGAACGGUAGAGGGGGCAACCCCUCGAGAGUGGCGAACGGGUGAGUAAUAUAUCGGAACGUGCCCAGUCGUGGGGAAUAACGUAGCGUAAGUUACGCUAAUACCGCAUACGAUCUAAGGAUGAAAGCGGGGGAUCGCAAGACCUCGCGCGAUUGGAGCGGCCGAUAUCAGAUUAGGUAGUUGGUGGGGUAAAGGCUCACCAAGCCAACGAUCUGUAGCUGGUCUGAGAGGACGACCAGCCACACUGGAACUGAGACACGGUCCAGACUCCUACGGGAGGCAGCAGUGGGGAAUUUUGGACAAUGGACGCAAGUCUGAUCCAGCCAUUCCGCGUGCAGGAUGAAGGCCCUCGGGUUGUAAACUGCUUUUGUACGGAACGAAGAGGUCUCUCUUAAUACGGGGGACUCAUGACGGUACCGUAAGAAUAAGCACCGGCUAACUACGUGCCAGCCGCCGCGGUAAAAC
rnacentral:rRNA from 1 species